rnacentral:rRNA from 1 species
UCGUAGGCGGUUCGUCGCGUCUGCUGUGAAAUCCCGAGGCUCAACCUCGGGCCUGCAGUGGGUACGGGCAGACUAGAGUGCGGUAGGGGAGAUCGGAAUUCCUGGUGUAGCGGUGGAAUGCGCAGAUAUCAGGAGGAACACCGAUGGCGAAGGCAGAUCUCUGGGCCGUAACUGACGCUGAGGAGCGAAAGGGUGGGGAGCAAACAGGAUUAGAUACCCUGGUAGUCCACCCCGUAAACGUUGGGAACUAGUUGUGGGGUCCAUUCCACGGAUUCCGUGACGCAGCUAAUGUAUUAAGUUCCCCGCCUGGGGAGUACGGCCGCAAGGCUAAAACUCAAAGGAAUUGACGGGGACCCGCACAAGCGGAGGAGCAUGCGGAUUAAUUCGAUGCAACGCGAAGAACCUUACCAAGGCUUGACAUAUUCAAGAACGCCGUAGAAAUACGGAACUCUUUGGACACUCGUAUACAGGUGGUGCAUGGUUGUCGUCAGCUCGUGUCGUGAGAUGUUGGGUUAAGUCCCGCAACGAGCGCAACCCUCGUUCUAUGUUGCCAGCACGUAAUGGUGGGAACUCAUGGGAUACUGCCGGAGUCAACUCGGAGGAAGGUGGGGAUGACGUCAAAUCAUCAUGCCCCUUAUGUCUUGGGCUUCACGCAUGCUACAAUGGCCGGUACAAAGGGCUGCAAUACCGUGAGGUGGAGCGAAUCCCAAAAAGCCGGUCCCAGUUCAGAUUGAGGUCUGCAACUCGACCUUCAUGAAGUCAGAGUCGCUAGUAAUCGCAGAUCAGCAACGCUGCGGUGAAUACGUUCCCGGGUCUUGUACACACCGCCCGUCAAGUCAUGAAAGUCGGUAACACCUGAGCCCGGUGGCCUAACCCUUGUGGAGGGAGCCGUUCGAAGUGGGAUCGGUAAUUAGGACUA